GUGAAUCAUCAAAUUUUUGAACGCAAAUUGCACUCUCUUCGGAGAGUAUGCCUGUUUGAGGGUCAGCCCAAAAAAAAAUCGACAUAGUCGCUGUUUCGCGGUGACAUUCGUCGGAAAUUGGGUCAUCUUAAACCUUUGGGUUUUAGCCGCUUUAAAAUUUUUUUUAGAUUUCACCAACCGUUUCUAGGUUUUAUUUUUUUUACGUUUAAGUUU
rnacentral:misc_RNA from 1 species